GAUGAAGAACGUAGCGAAACGCGAUAAGUAAUGUGAAUUGCAGAAUCCAGUGAAUCAUCGAAUCUUUGAACGCACAUUGCGCCCGCUGGUAUUCCGGCGGGCAUGCCUGUUCGAGCGUCAUUUCAACCCUCAAGCCCCCGGGUUUGGUGUUGGGGAUCGGCUCUGCCCUUCUGGGCGGUGCCGCCCCCGAAAUACAUUGGCGGUCUCGCUGCAGCCUCCAUUGCGUAGUAGCUAACACCUCGCAACUGGAACGCGGCGCGGCCAUGCCGUAAAACCCCAACUUCUGAAUGUUGACCUCGGAUCAGGUAGGAAUACCCGCUGAACUUAAGCAUAUCAAUAAGCGGAGGA
rnacentral:misc_RNA from 1 species